UACGUAGGGUGCGAGCGUUUGUCCGGAAUUACUGGGCGUAAAGAGCUCGUAGGUGGUUUGUCGCGUUUGUUCGUGAAAACCGGGGGCUUAACCCUCGGCGUGCGGGCGAUACGGGCAGACUUGAGUACUGCAGGGGAGACUGGAAUUCCUGGUGUAGCGGUGGAAUGCGCAGAUAUCAGGAGGAACACCGGUGGCGAAGGCGGGUCUCUGGGCAGUAACUGACGCUGAGGCACGAAGGCCAGGGGAGCAAACGGG
rnacentral:rRNA from 1 species